rnacentral:rRNA from 1 species
AGCGAACGCUGGCGGCAGGCUUAACACAUGCAAGUCGAGCGGGCCCUUCGGGGUCAGCGGCAGACGGGUGAUUAACACGGGGGAACGUACCCCUUGGUUCGGAAUAACACUGGGAAACUAGCGCUAAUACCGGUUACGCCCUUUUGGGGAAAGGCUGGCUGGCGUAGGAUCGGCCCUUGUCUGAUUAGCCAGUUGGUGGGGUAAUGGCCUACCAAGGCGACGAUCCGUAGCUGGUCUGAGAGGAUGGCCAGACACACUGGAACUGCGACACAGCCCAGACUCCUACGGGAGGCAGCAGUAGGGAAUAUUGGACAAUGGGCGCAAGCCUGAUCCAGCCAUGCCGCGUGAGUGAUGAAGGCCUUAGGGUUGUAAAGCUCUUUUGUCCGGGACGAUAAUGACGGUACCGGAAGAAUAAGCCCCGGCUAACUUCGUG